rnacentral:rRNA from 1 species
GGGCGGGGCCUACGGGAGGCAGCAGUGGGGAAUUUUGCGCAAUGGGCGAAAGCCUGACGCAGCGACGCCGCGUGGAGGAUGACGGCCUUCGGGUUGUAAACUCCUGUCAGAGGUGAAGAAAACCCUUCGGGGUCUGACGGUAACCUCAGAGGAAGCCCCGGCUAACUACGUG